GGUAUAUCACUACCACCGCAUUUCAAAGCAGACGAAACAACUGCCGGUCGCGGGCGUUUAAACAAACCAUGGCUAGUUUACGCAAAAUACUGAGGUGCGAAGCCAGUCAGCUGUUGAGGAAAAACGCUGUAAGAUGUGUUCUUUCUCGGCUACAGGCAGGGUACAGCUCGUCUGCCGAUACAGAAUAUGCCAUAGAAAUGGCCUGCUCCAACAUAAGAUAUGGCGCUGGCGCCACAAAAGAAGUGGGCAUGGU